rnacentral:misc_RNA from 1 species
GAUGAAGAACGUAGCGAAAUGCGAUAAGUAUUGUGAAUUGCAGAAUUCAGUGAAUCAUCGAAUCUUUGAACGCACAUUGCGCCCCCUGGUAUUCCGGGGGGCAUGCCUGUUCGAGCGUCAUUUCACCACUCAAGCCUCGCUUGGUAUUGGGCAUCGCGGUCCGCCGCGCGCCUCAAAUCGACCGGCUGGGUCUUCUGUCCCCUAAGCGUUGUGGAAACUAUUCGCUAAAGGGUGUUCGGGAGGCUACGCCGUAAAACAACCCCAUUUCUAAGGUUGACCUCGGAUCAGGUAGGGAUACCCGCUGAACUUAAGCAUAUCAAUAAGCGGAGGA